ACAUACAGCCCUUUAUGAUAAAGGAUGCGUUAUGGACAGCUGACACGCAGGACUUUGAUGCAAUUCUACUGUUCUGUACGAGCGCUUUUUCAAACUCACCGCGAAUCCAGGGAACAUCGACCCCCUCCCGACAUAUUCCAGACCCCAACAGGCAACGAUCAACUGUGGCCCAAGUACACUGCUCAGAAUCAAGCCCACCCGAAAACUACUGUUGGGCCGGGAACUUGCUGCUUCACGAGCCGGCGCUCCAGGGACAAGACUGCCCGGAGACAGACCCAGCAGAAUCUGGAACGCUAGAGGGAAAAAGUCACACACCCCCGGUUUCGGCGAUUCGUCACAACAAGCGCCAAAAAAGCCGAGACUCCGCACCGGCGAAAAACGGCACAGACGACCACAUAAAUCUAGAGCUGGGGGAUUCCGGCGCCCCGAGCAUUCCGAAUGAAACACCCAAGAGACCUGUUUUUAAUGACAUGUCAGAUGUUGAUGACCAGCUAUUCUGUGAUGCGGCCAACCUUAUAGACCCAGUCAAUUCUACGGCCUCAAUACCUGCAGCCGAACAAGAAAGGUUUUUCACAUUAUUUUCCAGGGCUUUGAAAUCGAGGAAUGUUUUGCUAUACAAACGACUGGGGGAUUUAAUUGAGAGACAGUACAGAGACAAUAUGUUAUUCUGGCAUAGAACAAUUCCACGCAUGUUAAACAGCAACCCCAUUAAAAAACGCAAAUACAGACGCUAAAAUCAUACAUGUAACACCAACCAUUACAGAAAGAAAAAAAAAACGAACACUCUUAAUUAUCCAAAAAUGGCAGAACUAACGCAACACGGGGAGACAGUUGAAAGCCUCUUAUCCCAGAUUCCAGACGAACUCCUAGAAGUUAUAAGACGUAUGAACGAUUCAGGAACGUUAGAUGAAAGCAUAUUAACACAGAUUCCAGCCGAACUCUUAGAAAUGAUUAAUCGUAUGAACCAGUCAGGGGGGGUUGAGAAAAACAUGUUAUCCCAGAUUCCCGAACCCCUCAUAACCUUAAUUAAUCGUAUGAACGAGAGUCAGACAAUUUCGGCCCCGACAACCCCGACAGCGAUAGAACAACCCGUAACGCCUAGGACCGUAGAGUCUGAAACGCCACAAGAUGUUUUUGGGGAAUUGGACAAUUAUCUAAUAAAUCUGGUAGCAGAUGUUCAUGAUAGACGUGUCAGGGUUGUGUACAGGAAUAAAUUCAACAAUACAGAGAUUCGACAGUUUUUCAAUUUCCUAUGUGUGAAUCAGAAUCUUGACUAUGCUGUAUUUUACAUGAUGAUAAUGGACACUCUGAAUGACCUGUUAGAAACAGCAAGAGAUUAUGGCGAACCUCGUGAUGUCUUACAGUUGGAAAUAUGUGGAGAUAGCCUGCAUAAUUCAGUAUCUCUUAUUUUACCCAAUGGCGAAGCAGAUCUUGAACAAUUUACAGCGCUGGUAGAACGCCUUGUUCAGUCAAAUUUAGCCAUCAUAGCCGAUCGAACCCUAGAGCUUGUAGUGCAAAUAAUACGUCAACCACAGGGGGGCGGUGGGCAGAGAAGGAAGCUUGAUAGCCUAAUGCAGUCAGAAAUCAUAAGCAAUAAAAGGGCCUACCUCAUAAACGUUCACAAUCCCGAUAAUAAGCUAUGUUUUGCAAUAGGCCUAGCGCAUUUACUUAACCCCGGAUGUACUGAUCUGACGGCAUUGCAAAAGGCUAGAGAGAUCCAAACGGCGGUGGGUCUCGGGAUCCAUGAAGGCGUGGCAUUCUCAGACAUUGUCAAAUUUGAAAACCUUCUGAAUAUCAAGAUUGUGGUUUUGUACCACAGUAGAGCUAAUGCAGCUCUCUUGAAGUUCCAAAAC